UCUCCCGGGAGCACACCUGGCAGACCCCUCUCCCACGGCCGCUCAGGCAUGAGCAUGUCGUGCUGUUUCCAAACAGAUCAUCAGCCCAGUUCCCAAGGCAGUGCUGUCACGUGGGUGUGAUCACCCCCCUAUUUGCAGUCAGGGUUUUCAUUGCUGGCCUCCACACUCUGCAGAAUGGAUUUCACCUGUUGGAUGAGCCCCACCCAUCUCACUUCACUUCAUCUCACCUCACAGGUCACCCUGGAGCUUUAAUCCAGUGGUUCUCAAAGUGUGGGCCCUGGGCCAGCAGCAUCAGCAGCAUCAGGAAACCUGCACCCCAGACCUACCGAAUCAGAUACUCUGGGGGUGGGCCCAGCAGUCCGGGUGAUUCUGAUGUCCUUCUAACGUGGGGCUCUGCCUGGUUCACAGUAACCGCUCUGAGCCAGCGGUUCUCAAACUCAGCUGCACACUGGAAUCACCUGAGGGCUCUAAAAAUACGGAUGCUCAGGCCACACCCAGACCAACUGAAUCAGACUCUCGGGGGAUGGACAUCAGCAGCUUCUACAGCUCCUGGGUGAUGCCUGUGUGCAGCCAGGACCGACGCCCAUGCUCUAGGCCUCACUGUUACUUCUGACGGGGACUGGCAGGGAAGGGGGCUGCCUGACCGCUACUCACGGAAGUGCCUUGACGUCCAUGUGUCUCAGCUCAUCCCCACGUGACCCCACAAAGUUCUCCACGCUGACUUUCUGAAAAAAGAGAAUGCUAUUUCUCACCACACGUUGGCGUUCCAGACAUCAAAUGCGUGGUCCAACAAGGACAGGAGGACAUACGCUACCGCUUCCCAAGGGAGAGCACCUCGCCCUCCUUCUCCGAGGGAGGAACAGGCGUAGGACCUCCUCGACUGUGCUGGUGGAGAUUACGAUGGGAACACUGCCUUCAGCCAAGAUGAAAUAAGCACCUACUCUGUGCUGUGCUGCGGGCCACCUGCUCUACCCGGUGGACUAGGACCUCACUGUCCCCAACUUCAGUGACUGUAUCGUGCCCCUGGGUACAUGCGCAUUCCUCUCACAAACAUUUGCUGAGCAUCUACGUAUAUGACCCUACUUCACUCAGCAAAUAUUCGUAGAGUACCUAUUAUGUGCCAGGAACCAUCCCAGGCUCUGGGAAUCCAGCGGAAAGCAGUCCCUGGCCUCCUAGAGCUGCUCGUUCUAGUAGAGGGAGAAAAACAGUGAGCCAACAAGAGGAGGAGAUGAUAGGCAGGGGCACCAGCACUGAAGGAAGCAAAACAAGAGAGCCCUCCGGCCAGGCAGACAACAGCGUUUGGAGGGGCCGGUGCCCCUGGGGUCAGCAGGGCUGCCCUGGGAGGAGGCCUCCCCGCUGAGACCCAUACCCCAUGCAGGAACCACCAGGAGCAAUGGGAGUCCCCGGAGGUCCUGACACAACCUGGUCGACGUUUGUGAAGAAGGUCCUCUGACGGCCGGCGAGGUUGGCGGUGGAGUCCGCCUCUUCCCGUGAGAGAAGCCAAGGUGGAGCCGGCUGCCCUGCAGAUCUAGAACCCCUUGUCCACUUCAGGCCUGUUGAGACCACCAACUCAUCAACUGAGCCCGCGCAGAUGUCUGAUAGGCGACCUUUUGACGUCAAGAGGCUAAAAACUCCACCCUCAGAUCAUGCUAGCACCGCCAUUUUGUGAACAUGGGUCCUAUGAAGAGGCAUGGAGUCUGACUACUUGUGCAGAUCAUCAAUUACUUCACCUCCAAUCACCUCUCUCCACGUUUCAGACCACCUUGCCCUACCCCAUAAAUAUCCCUGAGUGCCUAUUUUCGAGGAAGCGGGUUUGAGGCUCAUGCUCUCGCUUCCUCGCAUGGCUGCCUUGUGAGUAAACCCUGUGUCUGCUGCAAUCUCGUCAUCUCGGUGUUCGCUUUCUGGGCGGUGGGCAAAAACGAACCUGGUUCGGCAACAAUUGCGUCGGAUUACUUUAGAAGCAGAAUCUGCAGCUGGAAAUGAGAGAAUUGGGCCAACUGCUGGCCUGUGGGUUCUUCCUCCCUCUCCUUCCUGUCCAGAUCCCAGACUCCCAGCCCUGAUUUUGCAGCAUUUGAGUGUUUUUCGGGUGUCAUGAAAAUCUCUCCAGGAAAAGGCCUUUGAAUUCAUUUUCCUUACAUCUGGUUUUUGUGCUAAGCCUGGUGGGAAGGUUGGCUUCAUGGUUACACCCCCGUGACAGAAAUAGGGUGGAGGAGGGAGCUGCAUUUCUUCAUUCAAUCAAGUAUUAUUUUAAAGUGUUUUAUUGGUGUCUAACACAAAUAAAGGAUGCAAAUCUUAAGUGUA
ensembl:lncRNA